AGUCUCAAAGCAUAGGCCCAUGGACUGCUCGCAGUCCGAUGGGGCUAAGCUUUAGAGACGCUAACCGUCAUGAACAAGUAGGCCGCCAGGCCGGAUUGUGAAUGAAGGUUCAGGAUUACGGGAGUGGGUAGCACGGAGUAAUCCUG
rnacentral:sRNA from 1 species